rnacentral:rRNA from 1 species
UUCGGGAUGCCGGCGAGUGGCGAACGGGUGAGUAAUACGUGGAAACCUAUCCCGAGGUGGGGGAUAACAGCUGGAAACGGCUGCUAAUACCGCAUAAGCCCUAAGGGGGAAAGAUUUAUCGCCUUGGGAGGGGUCCACGACGGAUUAGCUAGUUGGUAGGGUAAAGGCCUACCAAGGCGACGAUCCGUAGCUGGUCUGAGAGGAUGGACAGCCACACUGGGACUGAGACACGGCCCAGACUCCUACGGGAGGCAGCAGUGGGGAAUAUUGCGCAAUGGGGGAAACCCUGACGCAGCGAUGCCGCGUGGGUGAAGAAGGCCUUCGGGUUGUAAAGCCCUUUCAGUGGGGAAGAUAGUGACGGUACCCACAGAAGAAGCUCCGGCUAACUCCGUGCCAGCAGCCGCGGUAAUACGGAGGGGGCGAGCGUUGUUCGGAAUUACUGGGCGUAAAGGGCGCGUAGGCGGUGCAGCAAG